rnacentral:lncRNA from 1 species
UCCAGAUGUUCCAAGUUAUAUGCCCCUGUUCGUCUAAAGUAGCAGUAGUAGGUGAGAAGUGGCGUCGUCGAGCUGAAAUACUGGAAUUAGUAAAAAUUAAUUUACAGAAAGUACAAUCGAAUAUGAAGAAAGCAGUGGUCAAAAGAAGAACACUUAUUACAUAUGAAGAAGGAGAUCUCAUUCUAGUCAGACUCCAUCUUUAUAAGCAAGAUGUAACAGUCAUAAUCGACCAGCAGGAGGCAGAGAAAGUACUGGGGACGGAGCUCCGAUGGGCCGCAGAAGAAACAGAGCCGACCAACCUACCGGAAGUCAGCUCUGUUAGACCCACCCACGAAAGACAGUCUACCCGACGGUCGGAUUACGACUACGAUUAAUUGUAAUAACAAUAAUAAGUUAUUCACAGUAGUUAGUAGUUAGUUGGAAGAAUAACCAAUUCAAACGCAACAGAUUUGUGUAAAUGAGUGGAAGUUAAUAAUAUAGACAUGCUAAAAUUUUGUUGAUUCAAUUGAAUUACUCUCCCCCUGGAACCUCCUUCAUCUGAUUCCUUCCUUCUCCGGCCCCAUCAGGGAAUUCUUGCUAUUUCUUUUCCAUCCACGAAGCUCGUUCUGAAAGCCGAUCCGGGUCACGCCGAUCAUUGUUGUCACAUUGGUGCUUUCAAUCGUUGAACCCAUCAUUGCGAAGCUAGGAUCAGUCGGAUACGACGAUAAACAUACAAAUAUUUCAGGGCAUGUCCCAAGCUUGAAUUGGGUCUAUAGCAGAGACGUCAAUUAAACGUACCGGGAAAUAUAUAUUGCAGAUUAAUUAACUCAACUUCUUUUCUUUUCUGUGAAGUUUUCAUGGAAGGGUGUACAAACGAAGCAUUAAAGGGUCCUUAUUGCUAAAGUUACAAACGAAGCAUUAGCUAACAAGGGAGCAAAGACAUGGAAAUUUUUUCCACCAAUAAACAGAUCUAAACCAAUUUUAAAAACUCCACCGCCGGGCGGGCCGGUGGUUCCAAUCGUAAGAAGAACAUUGACAAAUGAAGAAAGAAGGGAAAAGAUGGCCAAAGAUCAGUGCUUUAAUUGUGAAGAACAAUAUUUUCCUGGUCACCGAUGCAAAGGAAAGUUAUUCAGGUUAAACAUAAAACAAGAUUGCUUGACGAAGAUGGUGGACGUGGACCCAGUGGCAGCAGAGUCGAAAAAGGACAUAGAAAUCAGCCUUCACGCGUUGUCAGAGUCAUAUAAUCCCCGGACGAUACAAAUGGAGGGCGCGAUUAAAGACCAACAGCUGACUGUACUAAUUGAUAGUGGGAGUACCCAAAAAUUCGUGCAAAAAUCAGUCGCGCACAAUUUCCAUGUCUUUGCUCCCUUGUUAGCUAAUGCUUCGUUUGUAACUUUAGUAGUAAGAACGGACUACAAGAAACUCACAUUGGAGUUUGAGUGCGGAGAGGCUCUAGUUAAAUUAUAGGGUGACUUGCAAAUUGCCGAUUCAAUGAUUACCAAUCGCGCUCUUUGACGGAUGAUGACUCGGAAGAAAGUGGCUUAUUUUUGCCAUUUAGUCUGUGAACCACCAGAACUGCCUUUCACUGAAUUAACAGGGAUCACAAAUGGUGAUACAGUAUCCUGAACUCGGUCACAACGCACCAGCAACCAAAGGUUCGGAUCGCCUGAAAUGAGUUGAGACACCUAUUCCAAGUUUGGGAAGGUCCCAAGUCAACUCCUGGGAAGAUCGACUUUCCAAGAGGUCGAUUUCUUAGAACUCGACUUCCUCAGAAAGUCAAGCUCGGGAAAAGUCGGACCUUGAGAAAGUCGAUUCCAGAAAAAUCGACCUGGGACCAAAUAUGGUCAGUUAGGCGGUUACUGCUUAAAUGACUGGAUUACCCCGAUAAAAAGUCUUAUAAAUACGAGGUACCUCUCACUCAUUUGGGCAAGUCAUUAGGAGUGGAGAAGUCUCAGUGAAGCAGGGCUCUGAGCAACUGAGUCCCGGCCUGAUUUCCCCGUGGAGUUCCCCGCCUGGCGCUUGUUCGAAGCGUCGUCGAGCACUGGUCAAGUUCCACCCUCAUCAACAGAGGUACUGAAUUACCGUUCAGAAAUAAUGAUCAUAGGAUCACACUAAUCACCGGAGCAGAACCGGUUAAUGUAAAUUUGUACCGCUACCCACACUUCCCGAAGAAUGAGAUAGAACGGCUGAUGCGAGAGAUGCUCCAGCAAGGUCUGAUCCGACGGAGUAUCAAUCCUUUUUCUUCACCGGUUUUGCUCGUGAGAAAAAAGAUGGCACCUGGCGCUUCUGCAUCGACUAUCGGGCACUGAAUGCGGUAACAAUCAGAGAUCGAUUUCCCAUCCCUACAAUGGAUGAGUUAAUCGACGAACUGCACGGAGCUCAAGUCUUCUCCAAGCUCGACCUCCGCGCUGGUUACCAUCAAAUUCGUGUCAGGAAGGACGAUAUUCCGUUAACCGCAUUCAGAACCCAUCACGGCCAUUGCGAAUUCACAGUAAUGUCGUUUGGGUUAACUAAUGUACCGACAACCUUCCAGGCGACGAUGAAUAACUUGUUCACAGAGCAUCUCCGGAAAUACGUCGUUAUUUUCUUUGACGAUAUCCUCGUCUAUAGCUGGACUGUGAAAGAUCACUUGAGACAUCUGGAAAUAGUACUGGAGAUUCUGAGCUCUAAUUCUCUGUUUGUACGAAAAACAAAGUGCUUCUUUUCCUUGGCGGAGCUGGCUUACCUGGGUCAUAUUAUAUCAACCCAGGGCAUUCGACCGAAUCCUGACAAGGUCUCAGCCGUAGAAUAUUGGCCGACGCCAUCCAUCAUCAAACAAGUACGAGCAUUCCUAAGUUUAACAGGAUACUACCGAUGCUUCAUAAGCCGGUACACACAAGUAGCAGCUCCAAUCACGAACCUUUUGCGGAAAAAUAAUUUUCAGUGGGACUCCGCGGCAAAUGAAGCUUUCCAGAAAUUAAAGCAGACAUUAAUCUCGGCUCCAGUAUUGACAUAUCCGAAUUUCAACUUACCGUUUGUGGUGGAGACCGACGCCUGCGACGUAGGCAUCGGAGUAGUGCUACUAUAGGAAGAACACCCUAUCGCGUUCUUCAGCAAAAAGCUAAUCAGCACUUCGGCAACGGGCCUCGACAUACGCCAAAGAAUUAUGGGUGAUUACUAAAUCCGUAAGAAAAUGGAGGUACUACUAGCUCGAAGGAACCUUCACGAUCAGAACGGACCAUCAUUCAUUAAAGAACCUACUGAACCAGACCAUACAGACGCCUGAGCAGCAGUUCUUCUUAACCAAGCUAUUGGGGUAUUCAUUUGACAUCGUUUAUAGAAGAAGGAAGGACAAUGUCGCGGCAGAUGCAUUAUCACGAUUGUCGGCAGAGGAGCUAGAGCCGGUAGGAACCCAAUUGGCAUUAUUAGCUUCGGAACCAAUAGCCGAUUGGGUACGGAAGUUGCGAGAGGAAACGAGAUAGAUAACUAGAUAUUAUUGAAGAAAAAUCAAGUAAACAAACAAGAGGUGAGGAAAGAAUUUUUGAUACGAGGAGGCUUGUUGAUGUUUUGAGACUGAUACUGUCUAGGUCCCACGUCAGAAUUGAUAACAGAGAUACUGGAAGAACUACAUGGAUCGAAACAAGGAGGACACUCGGGUUACUUUCGAAAACUCUACAGAAUCUGACAACGAUUUUAUUGGGUAGGGAUGAGGAAACAAAUCAAGGUCCCCGCGAUAAGCCAUUAGGCCUUCUCCACCCCCUUAACAUUCUGAUGGCCGUCUGGGAAGAAGUCAGCGUCGACUUCAUCAUCGGACUUCCGCCGGUAUACGGACAUUCUGUAAUCUUAGUAGUAGUGGACCGCCUGUCAAAGUACUAUCAUCUCGGCAGUCUACCAGAGACAUACUCGGCAAAGCUAAUUUCUUCACGGAAAACAUCUUGCGGUUACACGGAAUCCCGACAAAGCUAGUAUCUGACCGAGAUCGGGUAUUUUUGAGUAAGUUUUGGCAGGAGUUACUCCGACAAAGCGGAACGACGAUAAACAUGUCAUCGGCCUACCAUCCGCAGACGGACGAUCAAACUGAAAUUGUCAAUAAAACCACAGAAGGAUAUUUGAGGGCAACAGUACAAGGCAACUCACGCAACUGGAAGGAACUAUUGUCGUGGGCCGAGAUGUGGUAUAACACAACAUUCCAUCACAGUCUGGGCACCAUGCCAUUCAAAAUUAUUUACGGCCGACCACCACCAAGCAUACCACCAUAUCAGGCAGGAGAUUCCAAGGUUGAAUCGAUGGAUCAGGAACUACGGCGACGACAGCAGAUAUUAAAAGACUUACAAAUUAAAUUGACAAGCACACAUGAGCGAAUGAAGAAAUACAAAGACAGAAACAGGAAGAACUGGGACUCCUAGGUAGGCGGUCUAGUUUGGCUCAGACUGAAGCCAUACAGACAGAAUUCAGUGGAGAACAGGAGCUAUAUUAAGCUAAGCAAAAGGUAUUAUGGACCUUAUAAAAUCGUGAAAAAGAUCAAUCCAGUCGCUUACAGGUUGGAGUUACCGGCAACAAGUAGUAUCUUUCAAGUCUUCCACAUAUUGUUGUUAAAGCCAUUCGUCGGGAAAUUGGAGGAAAGACAACAGCUGGCUCUACCCCCGAAGGCAUGGGACAUACACCCAAUUGUGGUUCCAGCCAACAUUGUGGGUUAUCGAAUCAGUUCAAAGAAGGACAAGAAGACAGAACAUGUUUUAAUAGGAUGGGAGGGACUACCUUCAUAGGAACGAACGUGGGAUGAUUUAAAUUGGGUCGCACAUUUAAAUCCAAGCCACAACCUUGAGGACAAGGUUCGUCAUGCAGGAGAAGGUGAUGUUGUUGGAUCGAGAUCCGAGGCUAUAAGGGGGGAUAAUAGCCUCUUUUCGAUUAAUGCAAGUUAAUAGCGGAAUUACCUGCACACACUUAAGUACACAAAUGGUUGUAUAAUAAUAAUAGUAUAAUAUUGUUAGCAAUAUAAUACUAUUAUAUAAUUUUAAAGAAUAUAAUAUUAUAUCUUAUAAUAUUAUAUAUUGGACUUGCCUUUUGCUCUUUAAGUUUACUACAGUAUAUGAAUACGUAGUCAACUUUUCAGAUGGUGUUUUAUAAACAACUAUAGUAUAUGAAUACUAAGUUAUAUUAUAAACACAAGUUAUAUUAUAGCAAGUAAAUGACCAAAUAACUGGAUAUAUUGAUAAACAAGUAGAUGACCAGAUAACUGGAUAUAUAUAUGAUAAGUAAAUGCUUGAACAAAUAUGAAUAAAACAAUGAAUAUAACCUCAGAUGGUUGACCAGAUAAUUAACUGGAUGAGGGAUCUGCGUAAAGUAGUCAACCUCUGUAUUUGACCAGAUAACUGGAAGAGGGAUCUUUUUAAUUAAGUGUUGUUUUUAGAUAAAAGAUAAAACUAUAAUUAACAGAGAACAACACAAGAGAUUUAUACUGGUUCACCCAAACAAGGGCUAGUCCAGUCCCGACCAACUGAGGGAAUUCACUCACCUAAAGGUAAUGGCAAAACCUUUCUAAGCUUUAAGGCUACUUCGCUUAGGAACCAGUCUUUUACGGGUAGACUCACACCUUAGAGUAUCAAGGGCACUCUUAAGAACCUCUAACUUUUACGGGUAAGUUAGUACCUUAGAGUAUCAAGGAACUCUUAAAAACCUUUCUAAGCUUUAAGGCUACUUCGCUUAGGAACCAGUCUUUUAAGAAUAGACUCACACCUUAGAGUAUCAAGGGCACUCUUAAGAACCUCUAACUUUUACGGGUAAGUUAGUACCUUAGAGUAUCAAGGAACUCUUAAAAACCUCUGAAAUCUUUAAAGGUAGACUCAACCUAAGAGUUUUCCCGGAAACUCUAUAAAACCUAACUAGAGCUUUAUNNNNNNNNNNNNNNNNNNNNNNNNNNNNNNNNNNNNNNNNNNNNNNNNNNNNNNNNNNNNNNNNNNNNNNNNNNNNNNNNNNNNNNNNNNNNNNNNNNNNAAAACCUUCUCUAACACUUUGGUACUAUUGAGACAACCCUCUCAACCAAAGUGGACACACACAAGAAGUGAUUAGAGGAGUGGAAUAUUAAAGCAAACAACACUUCUUACUUGUAAAGAUGAACAAGAAGAUUAGAAGAAGAAGUUGGAGAGCUUUUGAAGCUUUGGAAAGCUAAGACACUUGAGCACUUGAAAGCUUGGAAGCUUGGAGGCAAAAACGUGUGGGCAAGUGUGGAGUGAAAGCUCUUGAGUUUGCUUGUAGUGUGGU